rnacentral:rRNA from 1 species
AUUGAACGCGGGCGUCAGGCCUAUCACAUGCAGGUUGAACGAGUGGAUGACGGGUGAGGAAUGUCUUGGAAACUGCCCGAUUGAUGGGGAUAACUACGAGAAACGGUAGCUAAUACCGCCUACUCUCCGAUGUGCCCAGAUGGGAGUGGCUAGUAGGUGGGGUAACGGCUCACCUAGGCGACGCUCCCUAGCUGGUCUGAGAGGAUGACGACGGAAACUGGAACUGAGAAAAGGAGCAGGAGCGUCAGGGAGGCGCUAGGGGGGAAGAUGGAACAACGGGUGAAAGUCUGAUGAAGCGAAGCCGGGUGUAGGAAGAAGUAAUUAGGGUUGCAAAGUACUUUUGGCGAGGAGGCGUUACUCGUAUAAGAAGCCUCGGCUAACUCCGUGCCAGCAGCCGCGGUAAUAC